AGGUUCCCAGGCUAGGGGUUGAUUUGGAGCUGUAGCUGCCAGCCUGCACCACAGCUGACUAGCAAUGCUGGAUCCCUAACCCAGUGCAGUGCCAAAGAUCGAACCUGUGUCCUGGAUGCUAGUCAGAUUUGUUUCCACUGAGCCACAAUGGGAACUCUGUCCUUGGUACUUUCAAUUUGACAUUUCUUUUGAGCUCUAGGAAAGUUUCUGUUUUUUUAAACAUUUUAUUCUUUUUUUUUUUCUUUUCUUUUUUUUUUUUCCUUUAACACCUUUUAGUUGGAUUUUGGAUCUUCUGCAUUGUUCUAUAUUUUUCUCCUCUUAUUUGUCUUGGAUUUAUGCAUUUAUGUUCUAAUGUCUUUAAUUGAGCUUAUUAUUUUGUCAAGCAUUUUUUAAAGCCUAUUUAAUUUUUUUAGCUUUAUUUUUUAUUUUUUAUUUUUAUUUUUUUAGGGCUGCACCUACAUAUGGAAAUUCCUAGCCUAGGGGUCCAAUUGAGCUGUAGCUGCUGGCCUACACCACAGCCACAGAAAUGCCAGAUCCGAGCCGCUUCUGUGAUCUACACCACAGCUCAUGGCAAUGCCAGAUCCAUAACCCACUGAGCAAGGCCAGGGAUCAAACCCAUGUCUUCACAGAUACCAGUCAGAUUUGUUACCACUGAGUGACGACGGAAACUCCAGGUGUCAGGGUAAAGCUCUUAGAGGUACACGUUCAUAGCAUCUUGUUCAUGUAUUUUUUUUUUUUUUUUUUUUUUAGGACCUCACCUGAGGCAUAUGAAAGUUCCCAAGCUAGGAGUGGAAUUGGAGAUGCAGCUGCCAACCUACACCAUAGCUCAUGGCAACGCUGGAUUUUUAACCCACUGAGUGGGGCCAGGCCAGCCUGUGUCCUCAUAGAUACUAGUCAUAUUCGAUACCGCUGAGCCAUAACGGGAAUGCCCCUUGUUCGUGUUUAACAGAUGUAGUAUGUGCUCAUGAAUCUUUCUGGAGAUACUAGUAGAUAUAUAUUUAUUCCUUUGUUCAUGUAUUUCCCAGUCCCUGAAUGAUAUCUUUCUUCUAGAGACAGAUUUUUUCCUUAUCUCAGUCUUUCAUGUUUCAGCCUCUACCCCCCAAACUCCCAGUCUAGUGAUUUUUGGUUGUUAGUUGUUUUAGUUGAAAAUGUGGCUACAGGGAGCCCCAGCUCUGUGGUAGGGGUGAGGUUUGGCUUCUUUAAGGAUGAGUAGGUGAAACUGGCUGUUAUGAUGGGGAUUUUCUAAUGCCGGAAUGAAGAGGUUGUCAGUUUUGGUGACUGGUUUCUGCAACGACGACUCUCAUUCUCCCUAGACUCUUCUUUACUUAUUUUAUGAGUUCCCUCCAGUAUCUCAGCUGUGUAACUAUCUGGAUUCAAGCCCUUCUGUCUUUGGAGGUCAGAGGUAUGGGGUAGAUAGACCCAGCUAGUUUGGUUUAGACCUUUGGUUGACCCCAUUCUUUUUAGCCCCUCCUCAGUCUUCCACAUCUCUGAGCUUCUCCAGGCCAGCUGGGCAGGUCAGCUCUCUCUUCUGCUGGACUCCCCCCACAUGUGUUCUGAGGUGGUGACAUCCUCUCCUGUUGCACUGGUCACUCCACUGUCCCAUCUUUUAGGAAUUGGUUGAAAUUCCUGGCCUGUCCUCCCCCAUUCCCCUUCUUUGCGGAUUUAUACUUUGAAUUUUUUUCUUUUCUCUUCUUUUCUUUUCUUCCUUUUUUUCUUUCUUUCUUUGUUUCUUUCUUUCUUUCUUUAUCACAUCUAUAGUUGUAUAAUGAUCAUAACAAUCUGAUUUCACAGGAUUUCCAUCCCACAAAAUUUUUUUUCUUUUAAAAAACUGUUAAGUAUUUUGAGCAUACAAAAAAUAAUUUAACAAACCUUUAUUUGGAAGGACAUUUUUCCUCCUUUGUGGCACCUGGCACUGCUUGAACAUCCACUAAUUGGUGACGUCCCCCUUUAUGUCUUGUCUCUUAACAAGUGGAGAGUGAAUUUCCAAGCCUUCUCUGUCCUGGUGCAAGGUGUGAGGCUGUUUUCCCCAACAGCUGCUCUGUGGUGUAAUAAUGGGCAUUUCUUAGACUUCAUUUCUUGUGAGCCAUUUGUUUUUUGCUUAAACUAGUAGAGCAGAUCCUGUUGUUUGUAACCAGAAGGUUGACAUAUAGCCACUACCCAGAUUAACCAUUGUUAACCUUUUCCCUGAUCAGAUCCUUUAAGUAAGGAAAAAGCUGGAGUUCCUGUUGUAGCUCAGUGGUAACAGACCCAACUAGUAUCCAUGAGGACGCAGGUUCGAUCCCUGGCUCACUCAGUGGACUAAGGAUCUGGCUUUGCCGCGAGGUCGCAGAUGCGGCUCGGAUCCUGGGUUGACUCGACUGGUCAAUUUGUCCGCCCCCUGCACCACUCUGACACAGGUUAUUAUAGCUGUAUGGCAUUUUUUGAUGUAUGGUGUGGUAAGGUGUUUUUUUGUUUUUUUUGUUUUUUUUCAAAAUAGUCAUGGUUUUUGGAUUAGUUUGUCACCUUCUGAGUGACUUGUCUUAAAAUCUGCUUUUCUGAUAGUGAUAUUUCUACAUGAGAUUUCCUUAGGCUAGUGGUAAGUAUUUUUCCAUUCCUUUUAACUUUUCCUGUCAUUAUGUUUUAGGUUUUCUUUUUAAACAAACAUAUAGGAAUCUUUUUUUUUUUUUUUUCCUGCUUUAAAGCCAUUCUCCUAGAAUAGUUCUGGACUUGACAGUUUACAUUUGCUUAUUUUAUUUUGAGACUAUUUUGUUAGCACUAUGUAUUUUGGUUUGGAAUUUUUAUAACUUGGUGGCAGAAUAUUUCUUUUUAUUCAUUAAAUAAGGAUCCUUAGUAUCCCUAGUAAUGAUUCCCCCCUCUUAGUCUGUUUUCCUAAGUUUGUUUCUUCUUUAAUCUGGUUCCGUUUUCACACUAGAUUUUUACUAGUAUUUACAUGGUAUACGUUUUUCUGUACUUUUUCAACUUUAUGGUUUAAAUUUGUCUUUUGUAAACAGCAUAAAACUGUUGUUGUCUUUUAAAAUCCAGUCUUGGAAUUACUGUCUUUUAAGAAAUAGAUUUUAAUUCAUUAUCCUUUUCUGUAAUUACAUUUCUUUGCAUUUUUUUUCCCUCUCCUUUCUUGCCAUGUACUGGAUUGAUCCAGUUUUCCUUAUUUUCUCUUCUUUUUUCCUUUUCAUUUUAGGGGUUGCAUGUUCUGUUUCUAGCCUUUCAGUAUAUACUAUCCUAUUUGUGUUAAAGAAAGGUGUACCAUUCUUUAUUCGGUCCUCUGUUGAUAGUUGAUUUUAAGUUUUUGCUGUUAAAAUAAUGCUUCAGUUAGUAGCUUGUACAUAUGAUGCUCCAUGUGUGCCAAUAGUUCUGUUAUACAGAUUCUUAUAGGUGAUCUUACGGGUCCAAGAUAUGUAUAUUUUAAGUUUUGGCAAAUAUAGACAACAUCCUUUUGAAGAUAAAUUUAUCCAAU
rnacentral:lncRNA from 1 species